rnacentral:tRNA from 1 species
GCCCCCGUAGCUCAAUGGACAGAGCACCGGCCUUCUAAGCCGUAGGUUGUAGGUUCGAUUCCUGCCGGGGGCG